UUCUCUUUUUUUUUUCCUCUUUUUUUCUCUUUUUUUUUUUUUUGCACAAAAACAGUACAUUUAUUCAAGUGUUCUCCAGCACAAGUACAUUAGAAAGGAGCUCAUCUGUAUUAUACUCUUCUGGGCACCAAAGAAAAAAAAAAAAAUCAGGAGGAUGGGAUGGAAGCGGAACGGACAGACUUCCUACAUCUGCUGCACGCAUUGACCUUGUAUUAGUUCAGAACAGCUAUGUCACGAGCAAUACUUACACAGACACGACAGAGCGCCGGGCAGCCCCGCGGGCCAGAACCGUACGGUGAGAUGCACAGUAUUCAGCGGCAAUAAAUAGAGAAGCGACCCUAAAAAAACAAACCAACAAAAAACAGAAGGGACGAACCGAGAGAGAGGAAAGUACAAAAUAAAAUGGGGAGGAAAAGGAGAGGUUUGGGAUAGGGAUUUGGGGGUGGGGGGAGCAGCCGGGGCGGCUGGGAAUGUGGCGGUGGGGCACAGGCUGAGCCAAAUCAUAGGAGAGGAGGAGGAAGAGGAGGAAGAGGAGGGUACCGAACUCUACGCAUUUAACCCUCGGUAUGAGUACAUGAUUCCCCACAAAUAGUUAAGCGUCAGCUACUUCAAUGUCUAGGCUAAAACACAUGAAAUCUCUUGUUUAGUUUUCAAGUACAAAGUUAAAAUGCCUUUUUGUUUUUCUUUUUUUUUCUUUUUUUUUUUUAAUAAUAAUAUAUAAGAGUAAAAUAAUAGUGCUCUUUGAAACUCCACUACAAGAAAACAAAACAGUCAUUGUCCAGACAGCAGACUUAAUUUAACAAUAUAUAUUUUUAAUAAAAUGUUUUAGCACCGUGUUUGUCCCCUACUCCCUCGGCGGAUCUUAAGGAAUUUAGGCUUAUUUUAAUUUUUAUUUUCUCUGUUUUUUACCGUUUUUCAUCUAAGGGCUGUGCAACAAAAUUUGUCUGUUUGUUUUUAAAAAAAGAUGUGAGUCGGGUACGUUAAAAACUGAACUCUUUCCCCGGCGUCCCCACUGCCGCCACCGCCAACGUGCCCCUGGCACCACCGAGCUGAGCCCGGCAUUGCCCCGGCACCGUUCCAGUUGGGCCGCCACAGGAACCUGAUUCCCAUUGGCACUGGCUCUGGCACCGGCCUGGGCAUCCCAACCAUGGGUGCCCGCAGCAGGUGCUGUAGCUGCAUGGGAUGCGCCAAUGCCGCACUGUGCCGGCAUGCCGUGACACAGCACCGGUUGGGACCUGGCCUAUGAAAGGUGUGGCAGGGCCAAGGGUCCCAUUGAAGCGCUGCAGGGCUGCACCAGGGUGGUGCGGCACAGCGAGGCCCACUGGGACCCCCAAGCCCUACUGCAGGGCUCUGCCAUGCUCCCCGCUGGCACUGCACCAUCAAUGGUGCUGCACGGCUGUGCAGGAUUUGCACCCAGUGCUGCAGGGCCAUGCAGAACCUGCAGACAGUGCUGCAAAGCCAUGCAGGACUUGCAAAGGGUGCUGCAGCAUUGUGCUGCACUAGCACCCAGCACUGCAGAGCUGUGUAGCACUAGCAGCCAGUGCUGCGGGCCAUGCAGGACCAGCACCCAGCACUGCAGGGCCACACAGCACUUGGCAACCAGUGCUGCAGUGCCAUGCAGGACCUGCAGGCACAAUGCUGCAGGACCAUGCAGGAUUUGUGCUUGGCACUGCAGGGCCAUGCAGCACUUGCACUCAGUGCUGCAGAGCCAUGCAGUACCUGUAGCCAGCGUUACAGGGCUGUGCAAGACUUGCAUGUGAUGCUGAAGGGCUGUGCAGGACCUGCACAUAGCGCUGCAGAACCAUGUAGCACCUGCAGCCGGCACUGUGGGCCAUGCAAGAUCUGCAGAUAGUGCUGCAGGGCAGUGCAGGACCUGCGAGUGGUGCUGCAGAGCCAUGCAUGACUUGCAUGUGCUGCUGCAAGGCCAUGUAGAAUUUGCAUGUGAUGCUGCAGGGCCACGUGGGACCUGCAGACAGCACUGCAGGGCCAUGCAGCACUUGCACCUAGUGCUUGGGGCCACGCAGGACCUGCAGACAGUGCUGCAGGGCCAUGCAAGGCUCCCACCCUGUGCUGCCGCAGCAGUCCUGUGCCAGACCAGCCCCAGGACCAAGCCUGAGCCCAUAGCCCUGGCCCAGCACCCAGGGCUGGGGGCCACAUCCCACCUUGCCUCCUUUACGCUCCCUGGCAAAGCUGGGCCCUGCGGCGCCCCCACUGCAGCUGCCCUGUGCUGCCCAGCUCCCUGCGCCAUCCACACCGACAGAGGGGCCUCCUCCAAACCCCGGUAGCACCAGGCGCUGUGGGGAGAUGGGGGACCCUGGGGCCACCCCACUCACUCUCACUGCCACCAUCGGUCCCAGCACCUCUCAGCACCCUGGGGCCGCCGGCGCAGCUCGCUGCCAUUAGCCAGCACCCUGCACCGAGCAGCCAGCGGACCCCGCCUGCCCACAGACCUCCAGCACCUUUCACAGUUAGAGAAGAGACAGCAACGGGCUGGAGACUCUCUGUGAGUCCCCCCUGCACUGUAGCACCAGUCCCUGCCCCUGCCGGGCACAGGAUCUGGCCACCCCAGUGGGUACUGGGGACAUGAGGCAAUACCCCUGCACCACACCAGACCCACUGUCCUCCUGUGGCACCCACAGCUGCCAGACAAGUAGCACCAUCCACAGCAACGCCAGCACCUGCCUGCAUGCACCAUGGCUCCUCUCUGCACCGUCAACACCACUGCAGCACCUGGCCCCUGCGGCCAGGGCUACCUGCCCUUGACACCGACACCACUGCGCCCGCCAUGCACCUCGCAGGCACCCAUCGCCCCGGGAAGGGGACACGGGGCACUGACGGGACACAGUCACUCCAAAACCACGCUCAAACAGAAGAGUGAUGCCUCAAGCCACCCAGUGACCAACACCAGGGUUCCCAUCCUGGCUCACCAGGGCAUCGCCCUCCUAUUGACCAGCCUGGACCCGCGGAUGUAGCACCAGGGUCCAGGGACCUGCAGCCAUCCUCGUCCUGCACCGGGAGCGCCCCAGCCACGCUCCAGCACCGCUCCGUCCUGCGCUUCCUCCCUGCCUGCCUCCUGCCCUGCCAGUCCUCCUGCACUGCCACGGCUUUCGGCAAGAGCCCGAUUCACAGCACCUGUGCCCCACGCCGCCCCGGCGGGCAGCACCUGCAGGCAGGAGCAGGCAGGA
rnacentral:lncRNA from 1 species